UCUUAAACCAUUGUGGUGACGUCAGCCUAUUCAUUUACCGUGGAUUCUUUUUCUAGAAUCAACGCUUCCUAAAUCUGCCGCUGAAAUUGACUCACCAAAUUAUAUUCAAUUGUUUCCUUUGUGUGCCUAAUUUCAUUAAGUUUGAAUUGGCUAAUUUACUGAUUUCUGUUCACUAAUGGAAUUAAUUUAAAAACUUACCUUUAUUUUUUGUAAUUUGUAUAUGCCUUCACUGGGAAUCGAACCUUUCCUUGAAAUCUGUUAUGUGUGACUGACAUCAACACAUUGACGAAACCUCUCGGCUACCAAUGGGUUACACUAUAGAUGUCUAUUUUAUAUAUUUAAAUGAACAUCUGAUAUACAUCGGUUCAUCGGACACACAGGGCUUGUACCUUUAUAUAGACACAAUAGGCAGUCGUAUGGUAUGAGUUGGUAGCCGCGAGGUUAGCAUGGUUAAAAUCAAUGAGUUAAAGAUAGGGAUUUGUCGGUUUAGGUUCGAAUCCCUGUAUUCUCUCUGUUGUUCCAAUUCUUAAAUGAUCCUGUUUUUUUUCUAAUUUUGCAUGUAAUAGUGGAUAUUUUUGUAAUAAUAGCGAGUUUUACCGGUUUUUUUUUAAUUAUUAUUGGCUAUUUCACAUGUUUGAAACAAAAAUGAUUACAUUCUAUUUGUCAAUUUUUGUUUUAUAAAUAUAGUAUGAUUUCAUCUGUUUUACUACAUAAUUUUACAAAGGUUUGUUCGCAAAUUCCUAUGCGAGAAAAUCGUGAUGUGCCUAGAGUGCUAGAAAAAUUUCGAUAACAUACUUAUUAUAUAUACUUUAUAUAUGCUUUUUGGUCGGGUUGUUGUCUCUUUGGCACGUUCCCCAUUUCCAUUUUCAAUUUUAUUAGAAAUAAUUUUGAAUAUGUCUUAUUUUGUAUAAACAGAUAAUAUUCAUAUGCCUGGUAAUAUAAAAUUCUUUAAAGGUAGAAGUGUUAUAUUUGUAUUUAGUUAACCAAUUAAUUGUGAUCUGAGAUUUAUCAAUGCAUCGUUGGACACGAUAACAUGGUUAUUUAAACUCACUUACAAUACCUU